rnacentral:lncRNA from 1 species
GCCAUGAGGAACAACCAGUAAGCAGGGAUUGUCCAACCCCCACAGUGGGACAAAUGAGUGAGAUGCAAUCAUUUGAAGUGAUGAAACAAAAGCUGUUCAAUGAGCCUCUGGAGAGAUGAAAGGCAAAAGAGAAAGGCCUCCGGCUAAAGACUUCAUGGCUGGGAAACUCACAAUUUUUAUGCAGAAGUCCUUACUGCUGUGGGAUUCCAAAGGAGAAAGCAGUGCAUUUUUCAUGAAAACAAAAAUGAAAUAAAACAAAACCAAAUCCCUCAGAAGAUAGAAGUGAGAUGGGUUCCGAGGACAAAUUGAUUAAUCUAUAAGUGAUCAAUAUUGAUGAAUUUAUCUGGUCUACUCUGGAAGAACUCAGUAAAUGGAAGAUCUUCAAAGUCUGCAGAUUCUAGAAAGAAAUGCUCUGUGAUAUUUUUCUACAGGUUCAUGAGCUAAAAAUGACAGUGGGCAUUCAAGUGUGGUGUCCAGUGAGACAACUCAUCACUGGCUUCAAGAAGGGAUCUGAGCUUACUCACAGUAUCUAUUCAUGGUGAUGGAUCCUGUGACCAUUGGGUGAAAACUUUCUCCAUUUAAGAAAACCAAACUUUCAUCUGAGAGAGGAGGCAGUUUACUAUAUGAUGGGUACCCCUCUGGGCUCUGACAAUGUAUUUGGACUUCUGUUGGGGAAAUCUGAGUUUGUUGUCUAUCCUGCAGCCUUUGAUUAAGGUCCAGGACCAUUUAUACCUUCAGAAUCCUGUUAGUAACUUUCUCAAGGGCUUGCAACUGAAGAAAGCAGCAGGUGUCAGGGAGGUACCCACGUGCUAUGUAUAGUCUUGCUAAUUUGUUUUUUCUAGGAAUGUCCCAUGGACAACAGUAGCCACCAUAAGAAGUUAAUUACAAUUUUACCUUUUUAUUUAUUUAUAAUUUUUGCUAUUAGUUGAACUAGCAAAUGGUUCAAUAGUAAAUUAUCUUGCAGUUCUUGUGUGAUGAAACUUCAUAAAGACAGAAAGUUAUAAUACAAGCUUUGUAGUAUUAGUAUACAUGUGGGUCUUCAUAUAUCCACUAAGCUGGAGAUGGAUUUCAUUAUUCAACAUUUGCAUAACAGAAAGUGAGCUUUUAUUAUUUUCCAAUUAAAUAUUAUACCUUGAUUACAGUUUUCUUUUUUUAGAAAACAGACUAGUAUAAAGUGAGAAUUAACAUCAGAAAGCUGGCAAACUUUACUAGAUUAUUAUAAGAUAUAAUCAACAUGAAGAUCCAAGGAGCCAAGCGAAUGAAAGAAUUUCUAAACUAUAGAACCAUGGUAGCGUUCUGAAAAGUUAUAUGACCAAUAUAUGGUUGUGCAUAUCAUCUGCCGUAUUCUGAAAACAACUCUUGGUGCUUGAAAAAAAAUGAAAACUAAACUGGGUAGUGAUGCUACAUGGCUUUAAUUGCAGGACUUGGGAUGCAGAGGCAGGUAGGCUCUGUGAGUUUAAGGCCAGCCUGGUCUAUGGAAAGAGUUCCAGGACAACCAAAGCAACACAGAGAAAUCCUGUCUUCCAAAACAAACAAACUAACUAAAACCAACCAAACAAAAAAGGUAAAAUCAUAGCAGAAAAGUUUGAUUUUUAUUCUCAAAUUUUUUAUGGCCAAUGAAACUGAUCCAACAUUUGUGUAGUGCAGAGUCCAAGAUAGUGCUUGCUCCAAAGUCAGUUCCACCAGGAGAAUGGGAUGUCUAUGGCACACUCUAUAGAUUAAUAUAUGGGGAGGCUGAAAGGACUGAUAGUAAUUAAAGGAAGCUUAAAAUAUGAUGUUCUAGGUUAUGCCUAAUUCUAAAAUGUCCCCUUCUUUCCAUGUCACUUGUCACAUCCUUAUUUACCAGCUUAGCUGUUCUAGUGUCUAUGACCUCAUUGGCCCACUCUUACAGAUUCAUCACUUCCUUAUCUGGCAUUCAGCCUGGAAUAACACACAUUUUAUUACUGAGAAUAUCCCAUUAUGUCAAAUCAAUAAAGGAAUUAUCAUUUUGGAAGGGAGAUGGAGCUACGCUGUAGUAUGUUUCACUGCUUUCUGCCUCCCUGACUCUGGGCAAGUCACUUAACAGUCUUGAGUCUGAGCAAGUCUUAGCUGUAAACGAUAAUGAUGACAUUAUGAACAUUAAAUAUAGUGUUCACACAUGUCCUGCAUAUAGGAAGCACCUCAGAAAUGACAUUCAUUGUUAAUUUUUAUGGAUAUAUUAUCCCCGUUGGAUGGUCUUGCACUCUCAUUAUGUUCUUCUUUAGCUAAUGGAAGCUGGCAUGAGGACCAGGUACAUAGGAAGUACCUGAUAAAUAUUCGAACUAGUAAGCAUAUGGGAAACAAAAAAGAGAGAAAUUAGAAGCGAUAUUUUGUGUGUGAGGGAAUGGUGUAGAAGAGUUGAAAGGGACAAGAAAUUAGAAAUCUCUCUGGUCUUACCAGAGGAAAGUCUUGCAGAGCAUAUUCAGUUGGGUUGGCUAGUGAACUACAAGUUGGCACAUUCAGGUUCAAUGGUAUCUGCUAUGGUAAGGAGUGUGGGGAUAUAGUGUUUUGGGAGACAAUGAUAUAUUAAAAAGUAUGAGUAAUGGAUAUUUUUAGAAAACCAGAUUCAUCCCUAUGAACCCCGGUGAUGGUUGGUUUUAAUGUUAAUUUGUCAGGAAUUAGAAUCAUGUGAGUAGGGAGUUUCACCUGAAGGAUUGCCCUGAUUGUCUCAAUGGGUGAGAAAAAACCUACUCCAGUGUGAAUGGUUCCUUCUGGGAGCAGCCUAGAUAAACAGAGAGCCUCGCACUGGGAACAUUGUUCUCCUUUGUCCAUACCUUCAGACACCAAGUGGGUUUCCCUUUGCAGCCAAGGCUGAUGUCUCCAGAGAUAUCAGAACCAGCAUUUCCAGGCUUCAUCACUGACCAAGGACUAGUCAUUCUCCAGGAAUGUUUAAGGUUUGCAGCUCCAGGUUAGGACUUGCUGUGGCACCAGCCUCUGGGACUGAGUGAGUGCUGGGUUGUGGGCUUCUGGUGUGAGACCAUAAGUGUGGGAUUUACUCCAAUUGCAGGUGUACCAGCCUUCAGUACUGAGUCACUGUGGGCAUCUCUGCUUUUAAGCUGAUUUAAUACAUUUUUUUUUUUAUUAUUCAGCUAAGGUUCUGCUGCUCUAGAGGACAUAGACCUACUCAAACGCUAAUGACUUUAACAUGUUAACGUUUUUAUUUGUUUAUAAGAGGAACAUGUGUGUGUUCACUACACCCCAAGGUUUUGAAAAAAAACUUGUUGUCAUACUGUGUAUAGCCGGGUGAUAAGGAGAUAUUUUUGAGAGGGGAGGACUAGAGAAAGGUUUCACUUUGUUGCAUAGGCUGGCCUUGAACUUGGGGUUAUCCUUCUGCUUCAACUUUUCAAGUACUAGGCUUAAAGGCAGAAUCCACAAAACUCAGCAUAAAGAAGAUUCAGUGAAGAUAGUCUAUUCUGAUGAAACGUAAGGGUGUCUUAAAGAUGAUGAUUCAUGACUUUAGAAUAGCCAUAAAUCUUUGAGGAAUGAGCAAACCAAAAUUAGGAACAUAUGUCCCCUGUGCUCUUGGAAUGGCACUUCCACGAGAGUCACCAGGAGUUAAAUGGAAUGAUGACAAGCCACAUAUGGCACCAGAUCUGUGCUAAAUUAAUAACAGUAUGAGAACACAGUUAAACAGUGAUAAUCCCCUUGUUAUCCAGUGUCUUUUCCCUUUCCAACAACCUCACAGUACAUCGUUAAACACGCAAAAGACACUUGUUAAUGGGGACAGCUGACAUGCGAGGAAAAACCAUGUGGCCUAUCUUUUGAAACAAGCUGAAGAGGCUGAUUCAGGCUUCUUCAUUCACAGGACUGCAGAGGAGUCAUUUGGAGAUCAAAAAAUGAGGCUAAACCUGACUAGCUUGAGGCACUCCAUCUGGCUCUGCCCCAUGCUGUUGCCAUAGCCACCCAUCUCCUAGCAACAAUGAAUAGCAUUUUCAUGUCUCUACAGUGACAAACCAUGAGAGUGAAAAAACAUAAGUAUGGCCACAAUACACUAAUAAUCUUAGAGGUUAUCUCAUAAAUUAAGUUCAAGCUGAGGAUCUGCAUGAAUAUUUGAUUUCGUGAUUAUAUUUUUCCUAUGGUAGUCUUUUGUCUUGGUUUAAAAUAAAGCAGCCUGACAGCCUGCUAUUAAAUAUAAGGUGACAAAUAUCAUUACAAAGGGCACAAUAAAGCUAAACUUUAUUUUAAA